rnacentral:rRNA from 1 species
CCUACGGGGGGCAGCAGUGGGGAAUAUUGCACAAUGGGGGAAACCCUGAUGCAGCGACGCCGCGUGAGUGAGGAAGUAUUUCGGUAUGUAAAGCUCUAUCAUCAGGGAAGAAAAUGACGGUACCGGACUAAGAAGCCCCGGCUAACUACGUGACAGCAGCCGCGGUAAUACGUAGGGGGCAAGCGUUAUCCGGAUUUACUGGGGGUAAAGGGAGCGUAGACGGCUAAUCAGGUCAGAAGUGAAAACCCAGGGCUCAACUUUGGGGCUGCUUUUGAAACUGGGUAGCUAGAGUGCAGAUGCGGUAGGCGGAAUGCCUGGUGUAGCGGUGAAAUGCAUAGAUAUUAGACAGAACACCGAUGGCGAAGGCAGCUGACGAAACUGUAACUGACGUUGAGGCACGAAAGCGUGGGGAGCGAACAGGAUUAGAUACCCGAGUAGUC